rnacentral:rRNA from 2 species
CGUCGAGCGGCGGACGGGUGAGUAAUGCCUAGGAAAUUGCCCUGAUGUGGGGGAUAACCAUUGGAAACGAUGGCUAAUACCGCAUGAUGCCUACGGGCCAAAGAGGGGGACCUUCGGGCCUCUCGCGUCAGGAUAUGCCUAGGUGGGAUUAGCUAGUUGGUGAGGUAAGGGCUCACCAAGGCGACGAUCCCUAGCUGGUCUGAGAGGAUGAUCAGCCACACUGGAACUGAGACACGGUCCAGACUCCUACGGGAGGCAGCAGUGGGGAAUAUUGCACAAUGGGCGCAAGCCUGAUGCAGCCAUGCCGCGUGUGUGAAGAAGGCCUUCGGGUUGUAAAGCACUUUCAGUCGUGAGGAAGGUAGUGUAGUUAAUAGCUGCAUUAUUUGACGUUAGCGACAGAAGAAGCACCGGCUAACUCCGUGCCAGCAGCCGCGGUAAUACGGAGGGUGCGAGCGUUAAUCGGAAUUACUGGGCGUAAAGCGCAUGCAGGUGGUUUGUUAAGUCAGAUGUGAAAGCCCGGGGCUCAACCUCGGAAUUGCAUUUGAAACUGGCAGACUAGAGUACUGUAGAGGGGGGUAGAAUUUCAGGUGUAGCGGUGAAAUGCGUAGAGAUCUGAAGGAAUACCGGUGGCGAAGGCGGCCCCCUGGACAGAUACUGACACUCAGAUGCGAAAGCGUGGGGAGCAAACAGGAUUAGAUACCCUGGUAGUCCACGCCGUAAACGAUGUCUACUUGGAGGUUGUGGCCUUGAGCCGUGGCUUUCGGAGCUAACGCGUUAAGUAGACCGCCUGGGGAGUACGGUCGCAAGAUUAAAACUCAAAUGAAUUGACGGGGGCCCGCACAAGCGGUGGAGCAUGUGGUUUAAUUCGAUGCAACGCGAAGAACCUUACCUACUCUUGACAUCCAGAGAACUUUCCAGAGAUGGAUUGGUGCCUUCGGGAACUCUGAGACAGGUGCUGCAUGGCUGUCGUCAGCUCGUGUUGUGAAAUGUUGGGUUAAGUCCCGCAACGAGCGCAACCCUUAUCCUUGUUUGCCAGCGAGUAAUGUCGGGAACUCCAGGGAGACUGCCGGUGAUAAACCGGAGGAAGGUGGGGACGACGUCAAGUCAUCAUGGCCCUUACGAGUAGGGCUACACACGUGCUACAAUGGCGCAUACAGAGGGCGGCCAACUUGCGAAAGUGAGCGAAUCCCAAAAAGUGCGUCGUAGUCCGGAUUGGAGUCUGCAACUCGACUCCAUGAAGUCGGAAUCGCUAGUAAUCGUGGAUCAGAAUGCCACGGUGAAUACGUUCCCGGGCCUUGUACACACCGCCCGUCACACCAUGGGAGUGGGCUGC